rnacentral:lncRNA from 1 species
GUGGCACCUCUGCUCCUCCCAUUCCACGCCAGCGUCUGGACAGUCAGGAAGGAAUUCCUCACCAUGUACCUUAGUGUGGAUCCAUCCUUUACACCCUUGGCCUCUCUGCCUUAUGCUCUUACGUGUCCCAGUAUGGACUUGAGCUUCAUCUCCCAAGUGCUGUGAUUGCAUGCCUGUGACACACAAUGCAUGUGACACCAUGCCUGCUUUAUGUGGGACCAGGGACUGGAUUGUGGUUUCUACAUGGCAGGUACGCUCCCUAUGAACCGAGUCCCAGUGCUAGCCCAAGGCCAACUCUUCACCAGUGAAAGGAUCAAGUUCCCUUCUUCAUGAGACUUGGAAACUGUGCUGGGUAGUUUUGUAUGGCCUCCCUGCCAAUCAGAAGACACUAGAAGAAAAACAGAACAAGCAGGCAAAAAGUCUGCCACCACCAACAAAACCCAAUAUCCACAAACCUGCCAGAAAGGAAGAGAUGGAGAGGAGUUGGGUGUGUGACUCAGUGGUUGCACAUGUGUCUAGCAGGUGUAAAGCUCUGGGUUCAAGCCCCAGUACAAAAACAGAAAAGAGAAGGAGGCCGGUACCUAGUUCUCAAAGAACUCAAGUCUGCUCUGACUGUUUCUCGAGCUGGAUACAUG